rnacentral:rRNA from 1 species
AACGAACGCUGGCGGCAGGCUUAACACAUGCAAGUCGAGCGCCCCGCAAGGGGAGCGGCAGACGGGUGAGUAACGCGUGGGAACGUACCCUUAUCCUCGGGAUAGCUCCGGGAAACUGGAAUUAAUACCGAAUGUGCCCUUUGGGGGAAAGAUUUAUCGGAUAAGGAUCGGCCCGCGUUGGAUUAGCUAGUUGGUGGGGUAAAGGCCUACCAAGGCGACGAUCCAUAGCUGGUCUGAGAGGAUGAUCAGCCACAUUGGGACUGAGACACGGCCCAAACUCCUACGGGAGGCAGCAGUGGGGAAUAUUGGACAAUGGGCGCAAGCCUGAUCCAGCCAUGCCGCGUGAGUGAUGAAGGCCUUAGGGUUGCAAAGCUCUUUCACCGGAGAAGAUAAUGACGGUAGCCGGAGAAGAAGCCCCGGCUAACUUCGUG